CUGGGAGAUCACAUCAGGUUUGGAAACUAGAAACCCUGCUCAGAUGAAAGAAAACAAAUGAGAUCAGAAUUCUGGUGAACACCCACAGACCACUUCCUCAGAGACAGCAAGGCUAUCACCUGGUUAAAUGGCCAUUCU